GAGCAUCGUAGCCACAACGCGCGGCAGC
rnacentral:sRNA from 1 species